GACGAACGCUGGCGGCGUGCUUAACACAUGCAAGUGGAGCGACGAACCGGAGCUUGCCCCGGGGCAGAGCCGCGAACGGUGAGUAACACGUGGGUAACCUGCCUCAAUGAUUGGGACAACCCGGGGAAACUCGGGCUAAUACCAAAUGUGUUCACUCCUUCUAAGGGGAGUGAGGAAAGGAAGCUCCGGCCUCCGCAUUGAGAUGGGCCCGCGGCCCAUUAGCUUGUGGUGAGGUAACGGCUCACCAAGGCUUCGAUGGGUAGCUGGUCUGAGAGGACGAUCAGCCACACUGGGACUGAGACACGGCCCAGACUCCUACGGGAGGCAGCAGUGGGAAUCUUGCACAAUGCGCGAAAGCGUGAUGCAGCAACGCCGCGUGGGGGAAGAC
rnacentral:rRNA from 1 species